GCUGCUGUAGUGUAACGGUCCGCAUGCGGCCCUGUGGAGGCUUAGGACGGGGUUCAAUUCCCCGCAGCGGCC
rnacentral:tRNA from 1 species